rnacentral:tRNA from 3 species
UGCGGGUUCGUAUAUCGGUAAUACACCGGAUUCUGACUCCGGUAAGGAAGGUUCGAUUCCUUCACCCGCAG